GGAAGGUCCGGGCGUUAUCCGGAUUUCUUGGGUUUAAAGGGAGCGCAGGCGGACGUUUAAGUCAGUUGUGAAAUACGGCGGCUCAACCGUCGGGGUGCAGUUGAUACUGGACGUCUUGAGUGCACACAAGGAUGCCGGAAUUCAUGGUGUAGCGGUGAAAUGCUCAGAUAUCACGCAGAACUCCGAUUGCGAAGGCAGCAUACCGGCGCUCAACUGACGCUGAGGCACGAAAGCGUGGGGAUC
rnacentral:rRNA from 1 species